GGCUCGGGAGCGGCUCGUGCCGCGCGGCGCUCGCGUGCAGCAGGUCCCGGGCGGGAAGGGAGCGCGAGCGCUGCCGGCCCUGAGGGCUCGCAGCGGGCCUUGGCUGAGGGGGCCUCUGGAAAACAAUAUGGGACCGUGUAAUUAAAGACGCUCAUAAUGAGGGAUGCUCAACAGAGGAAGAAAAGUUCGGUCCAUGCUCUCCAGACACCUCAUUACCUCCCCAAGGUCCUAACGGGGCAAUAGUGAAGGUGCCUUGAUGUUCGUAUGGCCAACGGGAAGAAACAAGGUUGUUUCUUUCCCUCCCUUAUGUAUUCCCUUGUGAUGGAAGAUGACCUUUUAAUGUUUUCCCCCUCUGUAAGAGUUUGUUCCGUCUCUUUGUUAAUUAAAUGAAAAUGCUACAUAAAUAAAGAGCAGCUUUGCUUUGCAAA